rnacentral:rRNA from 1 species
UUAAGCGACUAAGCGUACACGGUGGAUGCCCUGGCAGUCAGAGGCGAUGAAGGACGUGCUAAUCUGCGAUAAGCGUCGGUAAGGUGAUAUGAACCGUUAUAACCGGCGAUUUCCGAAUGGGGAAACCCAGUGUGAUUCGUCACACUAUCAUUAACUGAAUCCAUAGGUUAAUGAGGCGAACCGGGGGAACUGAAACAUCUAAGUACCCCGAGGAAAAGAAAUCAACCGAGAUUCCCCCAGUAGCGGCGAGCGAACGGGGAGCAGCCCAGAGCCUGAAUCAGUGUGUGUGUUAGUGGAAGCGUCUGGAAAGGCGCGCGAUACAGGGUGACAGCCCCGUACACAAAAAUGCACAUGCUGUGAGCUCGAUGAGUAGGGCGGGACACGUGGUAUCCUGUCUGAAUAUGGGGGGACCAUCCUCCAAGGCUAAAUACUCCUGACUGACCGAUAGUGAACCAGUACCGUGAGGGAAAGGCGAAAAGAACCCCGGCGAGGGGAGUGAAAAAGAACCUGAAACCGUGUACGUACAAGCAGUGGGAGCACGCUUAGGCGUGUGACUGCGUACCUUUUGUAUAAUGGGUCAGCGACUUAUAUUCUGUAGCAAGGUUAACCGAAUAGGGGAGCCGAAGGGAAACCGAGUCUUAACUGGGCGUUAAGUUGCAGGGUAUAGACCCGAAACCCGGUGAUCUAGCCAUGGGCAGGUUGAAGGUUGGGUAACACUAACUGGAGGACCGAACCGACUAAUGUUGAAAAAUUAGCGGAUGACUUGUGGCUGGGGGUGAAAGGCCAAUCAAACCGGGAGAUAGCUGGUUCUCCCCGAAAGCUAUUUAGGUAGCGCCUCGUGAAUUCAUCUCCGGGGGUAGAGCACUGUUUCGGCAAGGGGGUCAUCCCGACUUACCAACCCGAUGCAAACUNCGAAUACCGGAGAAUGUUAUCACGGGAGACACACGGCGGGUGCUAACGUCCGUCGUGAAGAGGGAAACAACCCAGACCGCCAGCUAAGGUCCCAAAGUCAUGGUUAAGUGGGAAACGAUGUGGGAAGGCCCAGACAGCCAGGAUGUUGGCUUAGAAGCAGCCAUCAUUUAAAGAAAGCGUAAUAGCUCACUGGUCGAGUCGGCCUGCGCGGAAGAUGUAACGGGGCUAAACCAUGCACCGAAGCUGCGGCAGCGACACUAUGUGUUGUUGGGUAGGGGAGCGUUCUGUAAGCCUGUGAAGGUGGCCUGUGAGGGUUGCUGGAGGUAUCAGAAGUGCGAAUGCUGACAUAAGUAACGAUAAAGCGGGUGAAAAGCCCGCUCGCCGGAAGACCAAGGGUUCCUGUCCAACGUUAAUCGGGGCAGGGUGAGUCGACCCCUAAGGCGAGGCCGAAAGGCGUAGUCGAUGGGAAACAGGUUAAUAUUCCUGUACUUGGUGUUACUGCGAAGGGGGGACGGAGAAGGCUAUGUUGGCCGGGCGACGGUUGUCCCGGUUUAAGCGUGUAGGCUGGUUUUCCAGGCAAAUCCGGAAAACCAAGGCUGAGGCGUGAUGACGAGGCACUACGGUGCUGAAGCGACAAAUGCCCUGCUUCCAGGAAAAGCCUCUAAGCAUCAGGUAACAUCAAAUCGUACCCCAAACCGACACAGGUGGUCAGGUAGAGAAUACCAAGGCGCUUGAGAGAACUCGGGUGAAGGAACUAGGCAAAAUGGUGCCGUAACUUCGGGAGAAGGCACGCUGAUAUGUAGGUGAAGCGACUUGCUCGUGGAGCUGAAAUCAGUCGAAGAUACCAGCUGGCUGCAACUGUUUAUUAAAAACACAGCACUGUGCAAACACGAAAGUGGACGUAUACGGUGUGACGCCUGCCCGGUGCCGGAAGGUUAAUUGAUGGGGUUAGCGGUAACGCGAAGCUCUUGAUCGAAGCCCCGGUAAACGGCGGCCGUAACUAUAACGGUCCUAAGGUAGCGAAAUUCCUUGUCGGGUAAGUUCCGACCUGCACGAAUGGCGUAAUGAUGGCCAGGCUGUCUCCACCCGAGACUCAGUGAAAUUGAACUCGCUGUGAAGAUGCAGUGUACCCGCGGCAAGACGGAAAGACCCCGUGAACCUUUACUAUAGCUUGACACUGAACAUUGAGCCUUGAUGUGUAGGAUAGGUGGGAGGCUUUGAAGUGUGGACGCCAGUCUGCAUGGAGCCGACCUUGAAAUACCACCCUUUAAUGUUUGAUGUUCUAACGUUGGCCCGUAAUCCGGGUUGCGGACAGUGUCUGGUGGGUAGUUUGACUGGGGCGGUCUCCUCCUAAAGAGUAACGGAGGAGCACGAAGGUUGGCUAAUCCUGGUCGGACAUCAGGAGGUUAGUGCAAUGGCAUAAGCCAGCUUGACUGCGAGCGUGACGGCGCGAGCAGGUGCGAAAGCAGGUCAUAGUGAUCCGGUGGUUCUGAAUGGAAGGGCCAUCGCUCAACGGAUAAAAGGUACUCCGGGGAUAACAGGCUGAUACCGCCCAAGAGUUCAUAUCGACGGCGGUGUUUGGCACCUCGAUGUCGGCUCAUCACAUCCUGGGGCUGAAGUAGGUCCCAAGGGUAUGGCUGUUCGCCAUUUAAAGUGGUACGCGAGCUGGGUUUAGAACGUCGUGAGACAGUUCGGUCCCUAUCUGCCGUGGGCGCUGGAGAANUGAGGGGGGCUGCUCCUAGUACGAGAGGACCGGAGUGGACGCAUCACUGGUGUUCGGGUUGUCAUGCCAAUGGCACUGCCCGGUAGCUAAAUGCGGAAGAGAUAAGUGCUGAAAGCAUCUAAGCACGAAACUUGCCCCGAGAUGAGUUCUCCCUGACUCCUUGAGAGUCCUGAAGGAACGUUGAAGACGACGACGUUGAUAGGCCGGGUGUGUAAGCGCAGCGAUGCGUUGAGCUAACCGGUACUAAUGAACCGUGAGGCUUAACCUU